rnacentral:rRNA from 1 species
AUGGCAUCCUCCUGUUCCUUCCUUCUCCUUGCCGCUCUUCUUGCAUUGGUCUCGUGGCAGGCCAUUGCCUCCGACCCUAGCCCACUCCAGGACUUUUGUGUUGCUGACAUGCAUUCACCAGUGCGUGUCAAUGGGUUUGUUUGCAAGAAUCCGAUGGAAGUCAACGCCGAUGACUUCUUCAAGGCAGCUGCUCUGGACAGGCCUAGGGUGACCAACAAGGUUGGAUCCAAUGUCAGCUUGAUCAAUGUCAUGCAGAUUGCUGGACUCAACAUCCUCGGCAUCUCAAUCGCACGGAUCGACUAUGCUCCCUUAGCACAAAACCCACCACAUACGCAUCCUCGCGCCACUGAGAUCCUGACGGCACUACUAGGAAAAGGGCUAUAG